GAAAUAGUGAUUAAUGCGAUCUAGAAGACCAUUAUUUCAAAUAAUACUUUUCUCACUAUAAGUCUAUUUAUUCUUUGGUUCUUAGCAGAGAUAGUGGCUUCUUGGUUGGUGUGUGUUCUCUUAUUCUCACAUUAUUCAACAGAAUGUCAUUUAAGUGUCUAGAUAAUCCUGGGAUUUGGAAGCAAAGGUGACCCAAGCUCUAGAAGGCCUCACCAUGAUGGAAAAAUCUAAAGUUUCCACCUGUGAGUGAUGAGAGUAAUAUGCAUAGAGAGGUGGUUUAUUCAUACCUGAAUAUAGAGAUGUAGUAGAAAGAGCAUUACAACCAAGGUUCUUCAGUUCAAAAUCUAGUGCUCUUACCACCACACUGCACUGUCUCUGAUCCACUGAAAAUGAAGAGAAAGCUGUAGACUGUACUUUGGAGCAUUAGUACUAGGCAGGCAGGCCAGCCCAGCUGAAGCAGCAGGCCAUCCAAGGGAGAAAUGGGAAGCAGAAUUGAUCAGGCCCAUGCUCCUGCCAGUUCCAGUGCUGACACUUCACAAAUCGAGCAUUUACAGACAAAGGUAGGCCCAGGCCCAGCUUUGGUCCUGCUAGGAUUUCUGGGAAGGCCAGUUUGGUACUUGUGUUUUGCAUUUUUUAUCUUACUGUCUUUCUUUUCUUUUUUCUUCACACAGCUGGUCUGUCUUCUUGGUUUCCAUUGGCAAAUGUCAUACUAGAAAUCUCUUAUCCUCCUUUUCCUAGGCAAGUCCUUUUUGGAAAAAUGUUUGCUUCAAGGAUCCGUAGGUUCAAUAGAUUAAGCUCCUUGUAGUCACCUUUUUAAUGAUGGAUGAACUUUCUCCUUUCUGAGUCCCCCUAGUCUUUGGAUGGGCCAAUAUAUCCUUUCUCUUAGUCACUACUACAGAGGACCUUUACGGGCUCUCUGCUGUGCUCCGAUGAAGAACUAAAGGUGGUUUUUGGGUUUAUUUUCUGUUAGGAUUGCUUCAUGAACCACCUCCAAUAAGUCUUCUCCAGGGAACUGGUAUUUACCUUAUCGACAGUGAGACUCUCAACAUCACUGGCAAUGAUUUUGCACAGUGCAUGUCAAUACAUUCUCAAUAUUCUACCAUUUCAAAAAGAUUUACUGGCCAAGCUGAGAAGGUUCUUCCAUUGAGUAUCUCCUUGAUAUAGGCAAAGAUCAUUUCUAAAAUACUAGAUUAUCAUCUGCUUCUGCCAGAAAGCUGCCAUGGCCCCAUCCCUACACUUAACAGUAAUACACUAAAGCCCACAAGGAAAUCCCACCUACUUUCUCCUCUCCUUUUUUUCCCUGUUCUGGGCCAAAUCCGCUGCCCAAGUGCAAUGACAAUGGAAGAUAAUGCAUGCUUCGAGGGUUCCCAGUGCCACUGCUAUCAUCAUAUGGGUAACUGACAUACUAUUGAUCCCUCCACAGCUAUGGAUAAGGGUGCCAUAUUCUUGAAUUUUGAUGGAUCGCAUUAGGGAAGCCUCCAAAUGUUCUGGGGAUUAAUUUAAGAAGCACAGUGACUCCAGAAGUAGGAAAUGCUUGAGGACUUCAUCUACAUGGAACCUCUCUUCCCCUUGGAUUCUGCUCAGUACGCCUUACAUGAGACUGACGUGGCCCCUGCCACUCCCCUCCUCUGAGCUGCACACAGAGAGCUCUGCAGGGGUAUACUAGAGAGUGGUCAGUAAAGAACAGAGACUGGCUGGUAGAAUCAUCCUUUA
rnacentral:lncRNA from 1 species